GUGCCAGUAGUUAAGCGGUUAACAUUCUUUUGAAUUUAUCAAAGUCUGACGUCCGUUCGACUCGGACCUGGUACA